UAAGGAAUAUUGGUCAAUGGACGCAAGUCUGAACCAGCCAUGCCGCGUGAAGGAUGAAGGUCCUCUGGAUUGUAAACUUCUUUUAUCUGGGACGAAAACGGGAUUUUUAUCUCAAUUGACGGUACCAGAGGAAUAAGCACCGGCUAACUCCGUGCCAGCAGCCGCGGUAAUACGGAGGGUGCGAGCGUUAUCCGGAUUUACUGGGUUUAAAGGGUGCGUAGGUGGGCUUAUAAGUCAGUGGUGAAAUCUCCGAGCUUAACUUGGAAACUGCCAUUGAUACUAUAGGUCUUGAAUUAUCUGGAGGUAAGCGGAAUAUGUCAUGUAGCGGUGAAAUGCUUAGAUAUGACAUAGAACACCAAUUGCGAAGGCAGCUUACUACAUAUAAAUUGACGCUGAGGCACGAAAGCGUGGGGAUCAAACA
rnacentral:rRNA from 1 species